UUGGUUAAGUUAGAAAGGGCGCACGGUGGAUGCCUUGGCACUAGGAGCCGAAGAAGGACGGGACUAACACCGAUAUGCUUUGGGGAGCUGUACGUAAGCGUUGAUCCAGAGAUUUCCGAAUGGGGGAACCCACUAUCUUUAGUCGGAUAGUAUCCUUACGUGAAUACAUAGCGUGAGGAAGGCAGACCCAGGGAACUGAAACAUCUAAGUACCUGGAGGAAGAGAAAGAAAAAUCGAUUUCCUGAGUAGCGGCGAGCGAAACGGAAAGAGCCCAAACCAAGAAGCUUGCUUCUUGGGGUUGUAGGACACUCUAUACGGAGUUACAAAAGAAAGUUAUAAAUGAAGCGGUCUGGAAAGGCCCGCCAAAGACGGUAACAGCCCGGUAGUUGAAAUGGCUUUCCCUCCAGAGUGGAUCCUGAGUACGGCGGAACACGUGAAAUUCCGUCGGAAUCCGGGAGGACCAUCUCCCAAGGCUAAAUACUCCCUAGUGACCGAUAGUGAACCAGUACCGUGAGGGAAAGGUGAAAAGCACCCCGGAAGGGGAGUGAAACAGUUCCUGAAACCGUGUGCCUACAAGUAGUUAGAGCCCGUUAAUGGGUGAUAGCGUGCCUUUUGUAGAAUGAACCGGCGAGUUACGAUUUGUUGCAAGGUUAAGCGGAAAAAGCGGAGCCGUAGCGAAAGCGAGUCUGAAUAGGGCGCAUAAGUAACAGGUCGUAGACCCGAAACCAGGUGAUCUACCCAUGUCCAGGAUGAAGGUAAGGUAAUACUUACUGGAGGUCCGAACCCACGCACGUUGAAAAGUGCGGGGAUGAGGUGUGGGUAGCGGAGAAAUUCCAAUCGAACUUGGAGAUAGCUGGUUCUCUCCGAAAUAGCUUUAGGGCUAGCCUCGAGGUAAAGAGUCAUGGAGGUAGAGCACUGUUUGGACUAGGGGCCCUUCUCGGGUUACCGAAUUCAGAUAAACUCCGAAUGCCAUGUACUUAUACUCGGGAGUCAGACUGCGAGUGAUAAGAUCCGUAGUCGAAAGGGAAACAGCCCAGACCACCAGUUAAGGUCCCCAAAUAUAUGUUAAGUGGAAAAGGAUGUGGGGUUGCUUAGACAACCAGGAUGUUGGCUUAGAAGCAGCCACCAUUGAAAGAGUGCGUAAUAGCUCACUGGUCGAGUGACCCCGCGCCGAAAAUGUACCGGGGCUAAACAUAUUACCGAAACUGUGGAUGAACCUCUUUAGAGGUUCGUGGUAGGAGAGCGUUCUAAGGGCGGUGAAGUCAGACCGGAAGGACUGGUGGAGCGCUUAGAAGUGAGAAUGCCGGUAUGAGUAGCGAAAGAAGGGUGAGAAUCCCUUCCACCGAAUAUCUAAGGUUUCCUGAGGAAGGCUCGUCCGCUCAGGGUUAGUCGGGACCUAAGCCGAGGCCGAUAGGCGUAGGCGAUGGACAAC
rnacentral:rRNA from 1 species